rnacentral:rRNA from 1 species
AUCCUCCAAGGCUAAAUACUCCUGAUUGACCGAUAGUGAACCAGUACCGUGAGGGAAAGGCGAAAAGAACCCCGGCGAGGGGAGUGAAAUAGAACCUGAAACCGUGUACGUACAAGCAGUGGGAGCCUUGAUUUAUCAGGGUGACUGCGUACCUUUUGUAUAAUGGGUCAGCGACUUAUAUUCUGUAGCAAGGUUAACCGAAUAGGGGAGCCGUAGGGAAACCGAGUCUUAACUGGGCGAAUGAGUUGCAGGGUAUAGACCCGAAACCCGGUGAUCUAGCCAUGGGCAGGUUGAAGGUUGGGUAACACUAACUGGAGGACCGAACCGA